AUCUGAGGCCUGCUCCACCUUCUCCAUAGAAGGAAAGUGCCAUCAUUGUUGAAGGUACUCCGAUCGCGGAUAUAUCUGGAUGCUGCAGAUUCUCAGGCAGCUAGGGUGGCCAAGCUUGUGCAGGUGCUGCAGUCCACCCAACCCAUGGAGGACGUGGCGUCUCCUACUAUGAGCACUGGACAGCUCUCUGCUCCUCCGCCGGAGCACUUUGAUCGCCCACUGACCAAAGGCAAGGCGGAGGCAAUUAUUUCACUGGCCAACCUCGGCACGAAGGAGACGAACAAGAUGAAGAAAUCUACCAGGGCGACGGUGGCACCAGUCGAUGCAGUGGAAUUUGUGGUGUAAGGCCAUGUCAUUGGGCCAGUGGUGUGUGGUAGUAGUUUCCCCUAUGAUGUGUCUCCAAGGAAGUUUGUGUUCAUGGCUUAGUGUUUGGUGGUCUAUUAUUGCCAGUAGCGAGUGUUUGUGUCCUUUGUGUUUCUGGCUUUGGAUUUGGGAUGGCCUGCCUUAUAUGGGGCUCCCCAGCCCGGCACGCCCCUCCUCUCCCUUAUUUGUAUGGCAGCGCAGCUGGUAUUUUAUUUUCAAAUGAAUAGAUCAGACUGCAAGAUUUUAUGCUGGAA